rnacentral:lncRNA from 1 species
GCAGCAUGGCAGGCCGUGUGCAAUUUCAAGAAUUAUGGGCGUGACUUAUCAAAUGCCAAUUUUAAAAAAUACUAUAUUUGAGUGUACUUAAGUUUGAGAGCCAUUUGCGAAUGGUCUAGGCUCAAGGACUGUUGAUUUUAAAUCUUCUCCAACUUCGAGAGUUCUACAUCCUCAUUCGAUUUCUUUGUGGCAGAAUGGCAUUCCGGAUUCGUUCGUACUCUCUCAUAUUGGUUUCUUUAGGUAUGUUGGCUUUCUGCACUCUACCUGCAAAGGGUAAUAGACAGUUCAUCUUUGCUCCGAUGCCCAACAAACAAGAUAAAAGUAUAGAUAUUGGUGUUGUUAUCCAGGCUUUGGAAGAUAACGAAACUAAUAUCAAUGUACUUUUCCCCAGAAAGUUAUUUGAAGACCAUAUUGCCUUGUCACCAAGAUCUGGUUCAUACAACUAUCCUCUACCAUACUCUCUGAUCGAACAAACAACAACCGAUGUCCUCGACUCUACAGUUGUUUUAACAUCUGAUCAAGAUAUAAAAGUUAUUUCAUAUAACCUUGCAAGUGG